CGGGACGGGUGAGUAAUGUCUGGGAAACUAGCCUGAUGGAGGGGGAUAACUACUGGAAACGGUAGCUAAUACCGCAUAACGUCGCAAGACCAAAAGAAGGGGGGACCUCGGGGCCUCUUGCCAUCGGAUGUGCCCAGAUGGGAUUAGCUAGUAGGUGGGGUAACGGCUCACCUAGGCGACGAUCCCUAGCUGGUCUGAGAGGAUGACCAGCCACACUGGAACUGAGACACGGUCCAG
rnacentral:rRNA from 1 species